UUUAUUUAUAUUAUGUAGUCUCUUUUAUG
rnacentral:sRNA from 1 species